rnacentral:rRNA from 1 species
GAUGAACGCUAGCGGCGUGCCUAAUACAUGCAAGUCGAGCGAACAGACGAGGAGCUUGCUCCUUUGACGUUAGCGGCGGACGGGUGAGUAACACGUGGAUAACCUACCUAUAAGACUGGGAUAACUUCGGGAAACCGGAGCUAAUACCGGAUAACAUGUUGAACCGCAUGGUUCAACAGUGAAAGACGGUCUUGCUGUCACUUAUAGAUGGAUCCGCGCCGCAUUAGCUAGUUGGUAAGGUAACGGCUUACCAAGGCAACGAUGCGUAGCCGACCUGAGAGGGUGAUCGGCCACACUGGAACUGAGACACGGUCCAGACUCCUACGGGAGGCAGCAGUAGGGAAUCUUCCGCAAUGGGCGAAAGCCUGACGGAGCAACGCCGCGUGAGUGAAGAAGGUCUUCGGAUCGUAAAACUCUGUUAUUAGGGAAGAACAAAUGUGUAAGUAACUAUGCACGUCUUGACGGUACCUAAUCAGAAAGCCACGGCUAACUACGUG